GACGAACGCUGGCGGCGUGCUUAAUACAUGCAAGUCAACUUGACUUUAGAUAGCAAUAUCGAAAAGUAGGGUGGCGCACGGGUGCGUAACGCGUAGGUAAUCUGCCCUGAGGUCUGACAUAACCCGUCGAAAGGCGGGCUAACAUCAGAUGAUAUAUAAUCACGACAUCGUGGAAAUAUCAAAUCUUCGGAGCCUUGGGAUGAGCCUGCGUCUGAUUAGGUAGUUGGCGGAGUAAUAGCCCACCAAGCCUACGAUCAGUAGCUGGUCUGAGAGGAUGAUCAGCCACACUGGAACUGAGACACAGUCCAGACUCCUACGGGAGCAGCAGUAAGGAUAUUGCUCAAUGGGGGAAACCCUGAAGCAGCAACGCCGCGUGAAGGAUGAAAUACUUUUGUAUGUAAACUUCUGUAAGAUGGGAAAAAUAUUCUCCUCGGGAGAAUUGAUUGUACCAUCAGAGUAAGCCCCGGCUAACUACGUGCCAGCAG
rnacentral:rRNA from 1 species